rnacentral:sRNA from 1 species
GUGUUGUUUGAGGUUGCUCACCAGUGGUUCUGGCUAUAUGAGCAAACUGCAGGUGGCUCAUCCACAGCCCGUGAAGGGGCUACAAGCUGUAGUGCCAGUGGGAUCAGGGCAGCUGGGGAGGCUGGGCGGGGUAUGCCUGAGGGUAGAGGGGCCCCAGGGACUGAGCCGGUUACAGUGGCAGCGGCAGCAGUGACAGCAGCAGCCACAGUGGUGCCUGUCAUCUCGGUGGGGUCUAGUUUGUACCCGGGUCCAGGACUGGGGCAUGGCCACUCCCCUGGCCUGCACCCCUACACUGCUCUACAGCCCCACCUGCCCUGUAGCCCUCAGUAUCUCACUCACCCAGCUCACCCCGCCCACCCCAUGCCUCACAUGCCCCGGCCUGCCGUCUUCCCUGUGCCCAGCUCUGCAUACCCACAGGUGAGACCAACCAUUGCCCCCCCCCACCUGCUCUCCCCACCUUCCUUAUCCCAGACCUCCUUCCUAGCUCUUGCUCAGAGUUGAGGCCUUGGUCGGGUAUUGUGCGUGCGCGGGGGGCGGAGGGUUACCUCAGCUCCUGGGGUGGAGGGAGGCUCUCUGCCA